CCAACCACUGGUGGCUUCCAGCCAGCAGGCGGCCGCCCGCAGGCAGCCGCGGGCAGCGCGGUUUCACGGCCACCCCUUCUCCCUCAGCGACAGCCGGGCCGCCGCGCAGGACAGCGGCGCGCGGCCCGACAGCUGCGGCUGGGGGCCGUUAUCCGCGAGCGUUAGGACCGUUAGGACCGUUAAUUAGCACCUGUCUGCCCAGCGGCUGGAACCGUGGGCUCGUCGGGUUUCCCAGCGCUUCGUGGCGGAGACUGAGCUCAGGGGCGAACUGCUUUAAAGCUUGUAAGAGACCACAUCUGAAUCACUUUUUAAUAUCUGGCAGAUGUUCAAGAUACUCAGUUCUUGGAAAGAUGCAACAGAGCCUUUAAACACAAAACUCUUUGAAGCACCUCUACAAUCUCUAGCUACUGUGCCUAAAAUGGAAAACUUUUCUUGAAGAUACUAUCUCAUCUAUAUAUGGGAAGGACAGACAGAAGCAACAAGAACACAUGAAUAAAGGUCUGAAGACACUGCAAUUUGCAUCAUAUUUGAAAGCACAGCUGAAGCUAUGCUCUUCCUUCCUCAGUGACAGUACUAUCUCAGAGCACACAUGCAAUUAACAACGUAAAAUCUCACCUUACAGGAUUUUUCACCAAAGCUCCAGAUACAAAAGAUUGCUGAAAGGGAAGGUCCUGCUGGCCUAUGGCAAAUGAAAAUGAUUACAGAGAGACCUAGACUGCAAGAUGUCACAGCAGUUGGAAUACACGCUGGCAGAGAAGAGGCCCACUGGCUGUGGAACAUUAGGAUACAGAUAAGCCCCUCUACAGUGCAUGCACAUAUACGUGUACCUUUAAGAGCUCUACUUCUACAAUGGCCAUCUACCAGGGACAGGAAAAUAAAACUGCAAGAUCUGCUUGGUGGAUGGCACUGAAACUUCCAUUUUACUCUGAACAGAAUUUUGAGCAGAGAGCAAAUGAAGAACAAGGACUGCUAAAAGCAAUGAAGAUUGGAAGUGUUAGGAAUGGUCCAGGUUGCAGAUCUUACUCAAGCAAAUGCUCCCCAUUGGAGUAGUAAUGCAUGAUUAAGCUCAGAUAAAUUUUAUAAACACUAAAAGAUUUCAUUAAUAGUUUAUUUUUAACAGAGGACUAAGCAUGAAACCCAAAUUAUCAGAGUGACUCUCUAAAAGCAGAAAAGAAGCACUGGAAGACAGAGAAAUGUAACAUCCACAAAAUUUGCACUGCAGUUUACUGAAAUACACAGGAAUUUCUAUUUUUAAUCAAGUCCAUAUCCCAGCAAUGAAGGCU